rnacentral:rRNA from 1 species
GACGAACGCUGGCGGCGUGCUUAACACAUGCAAGUCGAACGGAAAGGCCCUGCUUGCAGGGUACUCGAGUGGCGAACGGGUGAGUAACACGUGGGUGAUCUGCCCUGCACUUCGGGAUAAGCCUGGGAAACUGGGUCUAAUACCGGAUAGGAGCCAUUUUUAGUGUGAUGGUUGGAAAGUUUUUUCGGUAUAGGAUGAGCUCGCGGCCUAUCAGCUUGUUGGUGGGGUAAUGGCCUACCAAGGCGGCGACGGGUAGCCGGCCUGAGAGGGUGGACGGCCACAUUGGGACUGAGAUACGGCCCAGACUCCUACGGGAGGCAGCAGUGGGGAAUAUUGCACAAUGGGCGCAAGCCUGAUGCAGCGACGCCGCGUGGGGGAUGACGGCCUUCGGGUUGUAAACUCCUUUCGCUAGGGACGAAGCUUUUUGUGACGGUACCUAGAUAAGAAGCACCGGCUAACUACGUG